GCAGAAACAGGACGGAGAAGGGGGCUGUAUUUCCCCUGGCGUGUGAAAUGGAUGUUAGUGACUAAAGCUCAAUUUUCCAGUUAAGGGAGGAGCCGAGACUUUUAAGUCGAGUGUUCCUGUGGGGCCAAAAGGAUGGUUUCAGAGAAAUCCCAGGAAGUGAGAGUGCUGGGAUAUGCGAGGGGCCCACGGAGCCCUCCCCUGCGUGUCUGAGAUCACACCCUGCGGGUACCCUGCCGUCGUGUGCUGAAGGAGGUGACUGGAUCUCGACUCCAGAGUUUGCUCCUGAGAUCGAAAAACAAAACAACCCAAUAAUAGUAAUGACAGCCCUGGGUGGGGACAGUUGCAGCAGGUCUCAUGAGAAACUCACUAAUUUUGUAGGUUCAGGGAAGGCGUGGGCAUGUUGGGGAAAUCAAGGGAGAGGAGAAGAGGGGAGGAGGGAAGGUGAGGUGAGGUGAUUGGUAUUCUGCCAAUCCCAUUCUGCACACUAGUGAGACCUAGCAAGGACUAGAGUUUCAGGGGGAAAAUACGAGAAUAAUGAAAGAUAACAGAGAGGAAAGAAAAAAGAAAUAAUUGAAAAGUUUGAAAGAAGAAAGACAACAGCUGAACCAAUGGAGGUGAAAAUAGAAGGAAAUGAAAAUUCUGCAAGCUUUUGUUUCAUGGAUAAAAGGACUGUAUUUUCUGGUCCAUUAUCAGGAUACAAGAUGGAAAAAAAAGCUAUUGAACUUGUGGAGAAAGUGGCUGGUUUAAAUUAGUCCUGUCCCUGAAAAUCCAAGCUGCGUGUUUGUCAGUCUUAUGGCUGAUUUAACUCAUAGGCCCAGGAGAGAAAGGAUAGAAGGAAGCCUGAAUGACCAGCAAAGAAUCUGCAUCCAAUCAACACUCAGAGCAUGUAUGCUACAUUCUUCAGAAACCUUCAGGAGUCAUAGACUGUGGUCAGUUCUUCGUCAGAAUUAUUUUAGAUUUACUUCAGUUGUUUUUUCAUCAAAUGCACAUAAAACAUGGAAUUGUUCUUAGCUGUGCAGACCUUGUCUAUUUUCUGAAAGGAAAAACAAUGUUAAUUUUUAAAGCCCUACAUACAUUACAUCUUUGUACUUUUCAAAUCAUUGUGUCACCCCCUUCCCUUCUCUUUUGAAGGUGCCUGGCUGAAUCUCUCCUAUUCUCACAAUGGCUUUGCCUCCAUUCUGCUGAAGUCGCUUCCCAUUGCUCACAUUAUUAUACUGUUUUUACUUCACUUCCAAGCUUGUUUCUGACUACACAAAGGGUGCUGUAAUUCUGAGUUCCCUAUAUAUAGAGUUGCUUUUCCAGGAACAUUAUUAAUAAAAGGAAAGGUCUUCCUUUUCCAUUAUGGAGAUAUACCCAUGUUACGUUGUGCUUUGAUGAUCUGGGCUCUGACUUAUAAAACCAGUGUUACUAUAAUUUUCACAUCUUUGAGCAGCUCUGCCCAGUCAGUUCCCCAUAGGUCCCUCGGGAGUUUUUCUUGUUUUAUUUUUGAAUCUUAGCUGGAAUCUAUCUUCAUUAGGAGUCUAGCGUCUUGUUCUCCGUAGAGCUCUGAAAUGGUAUAACAGAGAAAGGGGUACUAGAAACAGCAGGCUGACUCUCUUUAAUUUUCUUUUUCUUUUUUUUUUUUUUUUUUUGAGACGGAGUCUCGCUGGUCGCCCAGGCUGGAAUGCAGUGGCGCAAUCUCGGCUCACUGCAAGCUCCGCCUCCCAGGUUCACGCCAUUCUCCUGCCUCGCCCUCCCGAGUAGCUGGGACUACAGGCGCCCGCCACCACGCCCGGCUAACUUUUUGUAUUUUUAGUAGAGACGGGGUUUCACCGUGUUAGCCAGGAUGGUCUCGAUCUCCAGACCUCAUGAUCCGCCCGCCUCGGCCUCUCAAAGUGCUGGGAUUACAGGCGUGAGCCACCGCGACCGGCCGACUCUCU
rnacentral:lncRNA from 10 species